rnacentral:lncRNA from 1 species
CUAGCUAAAGUGCGCCUUAGAAUCGGAGAUCGCGCAUGGACGACAAAAGAAGAAGGUGAACGCACCUGAAACUUCAGUAAUGGGGGUCGUCGGUGAACUCGGUGAGCUGAGCAAGUAGAUGGGGAAGAAACCAAUGGAACAAUGGCCACCCCUGAUUACGGAGGUGACCCCCAAUUCCAAUGGAACAGUAGCUGUGGCGAACACUACUAGAUCUUAGAAGGAUAAAGAAUUAGGCAUGCAAGACCGAUUGGAGGGUAGUUUGGAGAAAUCCCCUGUUCUGGUGAAUGCACAAAGGAAGCUUGACUAUCUGCAGAUUCAGAUAAAAAAAGGUCGAAUCUUUUUGCUACAAAUUGUAUGUUUGCUAAAGGUAUGAACCUUAGCUAUAUGGCAUCAAUUAUGAAGAAUUGAGAAAAUGUCAUUGAACUCAACAAGCAGGAUGUUAAUCGCACAACAGAGGAAUAAAAAUAGGCCCCCAUUUUGUAUGCUGUAGGGAAGUCACCUACUAUAGCUACGAUUGAGCGAUACAUUGCCUUUCAGGUGAACACUGUUAGUAAACCCAAGGUUUACUACCAUAAUGAUGACUAUUUUUUAGUGAAAUUUGAGAGUCUGGAUGAUCUUAAUGAGCUGCUUUACGCAUGGCCAUAUAUGUUGAACAAUCAACCUAUUAUAAUAAAAAAGUGGAGUGCUGACUUUGAUUUUAACAAAGAGGUGUUGCAAACUAUUCCGAUAUAGAUAAAAUACCUAAAUUUUCCUUAGAAUAAGUAGUGCCCUAGGGGUACCUCUUUAUGCAGAUGAGUGUAUAACAAAGCUGGAACGAAGAUCAUAUGUUCGGGUGCUUGUAGAAAUGGAUGUUGCAAGGAAACUUCCACAGAAGAUAAAAAUAAUAGAUCAUAAUGGUAGGGUAUUUGAUCAGGUGGUGAAGUAUGAAUGGAUAUCAAAAUAUUGCUAGAAGUAUAUGUAAGUUGGGCAUAAAUGCCAUGGUAAGGAGGAAAGCAAAGACAAAGAUACUCCUAGAAUGGUCCAAAAAUAGCAAAGGAAGCCUAAUAAAAAUUAUAAGACCAGGUACUUCAAAGAAGAAUAGUGAUUUAGUAAAUCAACAGACACAGGUGAAGGUUGAGGAUUCCUGGCAGCAGAUGACAACAAAGUCAUCUAAAGGAGUAGUAAUACCAAGUAUAUUACAAGCCAUGUCAAUAAAUAUUGGUUUUGAGUCCCUUGCUACAACUGAUGAAAGUGUUAAUAUUGACAUAAGUCAUAGACUGCAGAAGAAGGGUGUUAGAGGUACCAGUAUAAAGUUUGUUCAAUGACUUUGAUAACUUGGAACACUGGGGGAUUAAAUAAACUUCAUAAACAAAAGGAGAUGAAAUUAUUUUUGAAGGUUAAUAAAGUUAGCAUUAUUGCUAUCAUAAAACAUAAAGUAAAGGAGAAUAUAGCUAGUAGAAUUAUCCAAAAAAUUGCACCGGGUUGGUUAUAUGCAUCUAACUAUGAGUAUUCUAAUAAAGAGAAAAUUUGGCUGGUGUGUAAUCCUCAUGCUAUAGACUGUCAGAUAAUGUACAAGACUGAUCAGCUUAUUCAAAGCAGGAUUUAGGUGAAGGGAGUGAUAUACUUUUUUGUUUUGUAGCAGUGUAUGGUCUAUACACUAUACAUGAUAAAGUGAAAUUGUGGUCAUAUUUGAGGUUGAGGGUAACAAAUGCAUAGAUGCCUAUGUUAUGUAUGAGAGAUUUCUCUACCAUGCUAACUUGUGAUGAGAAGUCCAGUGCAAGAGGUAAAAUUAAACACUGCAGAUUUUCUUGCUGAUUCACACAUGAUAAGAGCUGAAGGCUAUUGGUACGGAUUAUACAUGGAUAAAUGGGCACACUUGUAGUAGAAUUGAUCGAGCAUUAGUGAAUGCUACAUAUGUCUACUAUGGAGUUACAUAUAAUGCGGCCAGGGAUAUCACAUCAUUCUCUUUUAAGAUUAAAGUUCGGUUAGGAGUGUAGAGGAUUUGCUAAAGCUUUUAGGUUCUUUAAUUGCCUUAAAGAGCAUCCUGAGUUCAUAUACAGAGUUAGUGAGGCAUAAAAGAUAUGGCGCAAUUUGAAAAGAGUUAAAUGCAGACUCAAGCAACUAAAUAGCUCUAAAAUUUAAAAUGUAAGGGAGAAGGUUACUGAUUUGAGAGGCCAACUCAAUAGGAUCUAAGAAGAAAUGAAUGAUCACAUAACAGUUGAGUUCCAUAGAAAACAUGAGCAAGAUUUCAGAUAGCAAAUAGAAAAGUAGAGUUUGAUUGAAGAGAGUGCAAUGCACAGAAGUCAAAAGUUCAAUAGUUGAGAUUAGGUGAUGCUAAUACCUCUUAUAUUCUUUCCUAUAUGAAGAAUAAUAUGGCUUAAAAUACAAUUACUAGCUCAUUGACUGAUGAGGAGUUAGAGUGCAUGCACAAGAGGACAUUGAACAUAAGGUCACUACUUUUUGUAAAGGACUGCUGGGUCAUUCAACUACUUGUCUGCCAAGUGUUAAUGUGAAUAUAAUGAAACUUGAGAAUGUUUUGAGCAAGGAACAAAUAACUUUUUCUAGCACAACCAGUAAUUGAGAUGGAGGUAUUCACUGCUUUACAGGCUAUCAAUGACUUAAAGGCACCAGCCCAUGAUGGUUAUAAUGAAGUUUUCUUUUAAAAAAAGCAUGGUUAGUGGUAGGCAUAGAUAUCAUUGAUGUAGUCUUAUUGUUCUUUAGCACCUAUAAAAUGUAUAGUCCUAUCAACUGUACUUCAGUUUCUCUUAUACCUAAGGUGGAUAAUCCUACAACAAUUGGUGAGUACUGACCUAUCUCUUGUUGUUCGACUAUAUAUAAGAUCAUUUUCAAGGUGAUUACAUCCAGGCUACAAUAGGUGGUGAGUUUCUUGGUGGAUACUAGUCAGACAACCUUUGUGCCUGGUAGAGUAGUGAAUAAAAAUAUCAUACUUAGUCAUGAAUUAGUGAAAGGAUAUGAAAGAAAGGGUAUCUCAAAGAGAUGUAUGAUUAAGAUUGAUAUGGAGAAGGCUUAUGCCUCCUUGGAGUGGAAUUUCUUAGAACAAAUUCUAGUAGAGUUAAAAUUUCCUAAACUGGUCAUGAAAUGGAUUAAACGAUGAGUUGCAACUGUUACUUACUCAGUGAUGUUAAUGAAAAAGUCACUAGACCUUUUCAUGCUUAGAUGAGAGUUAGGCAAGGAGAUCCAUUGUCUCUUUAACUAUUUGUAUUAGCUAUGGAUUAUCACACCAAGAUACUUAAGACCUUGCAUAACAAUAUUGAAUACCAUUAUUAGAUCUUAGACCUUCUACGAUUUGAUUUUUAUACUUUUUUCAUAAUUUACGGUGAUUUUUUAGUUGAUUUAUGAUAAGGAAUGGUAAUGGGACUAUUAAGAAGUGUUUUGGAAUUUUUGAAACGCAUUUGGGGUUAUUUCGAGACCCCAAACUAGUGAGGGUUCGGAUAAGAGCAUGCCACACUCUGGACAUGCCGCGAUAAGGGCAUUCCAUACCCUUGGAGGGGCGCAAUAAGGGCGUGCCACGCCUAAGGAUGCACCAUGCCCAAUGGAGCACGACAUCCAAGGGCGAAAAAAUGCAGUUUUAUUUUUUGUAGUUUGGGGUCAAGGGCUUUUUGGUCUUUUAACUAUCAAACGACUUCUCAAUCAUAUAUAACAUAAUUCCCACCCUUAUAAUUUAGAUUAAAAUGACUUCUCUUCUCCCAUACCCUCAAAAGCAUAAAAGAAGAGUUUUCAUCAAAAUUCAAGCUUGCAAGGUCCUAAUUUGAGUUUUUCUCAAGAAAUUCAACAAGUUCAGGUAUGUGGGGUUUGAAAAAGGAUGUUCUUUCAUCCUUGUACCCAAAACUUGAGUUUUUACAUGAGUUUUGAAGAAUUAAUAACUAGGUUUCAUACUUACUUUUCAUUUGCUUUGAGAUUAUGAUGUUUUCUCAUGAGUUUCACUUUAUUUAACACAAGAUUUCAUGUUCACUUAUGUUUUUAUCCAUGAAAUUAAUAUUAUGAGAUAAUUUUUAGUAUUUUGACAUUAGAAUUCAUAAGUUGAUAAAUGUACAUGAUUUUCAGCAUGAUUCAGUCAGUUUACUAGUAAAAGUAUAUGACUUUUAUGCUUAUUUAAGUUUAUCUACGAAAGUGAUUUCAAGCAUUGAGUUAUGGAAUUUUGAUAUGAAGUUUCUAUGAGUUGAUAAAAGAGUACAAUUUGAGCAUUGAGUAUUCAGUUUACAAGAAGUUCAAGUUUACUAAUUUGAGUUUCAAAAGAAUUGCAAUAUAAUCACAAUUUUAGUUUUGAUAUGAGAUUUCAUAAAAGCUAUGAAUUUCACAUAAGAAACCAAGAAUUUCAGAUAGAAACAGUGGCAUAUUAUAUUUUCAGACUUAUCAGCUUAUAUGCCUAUUUUAAGGUGAACUUCAUAGAUACUAAAUAAGCAAAUAGUAUGAUUUUGGAGUAGUAUUUAGCACUGAGGGGAGAAUGUGGAUUUAGAGCAUCCUAUUUUCUAGAAUUCAUGUGCCACCGUAGGUUAUUUUAGCUUGUGCAAAUGGGCAUGUAGCUUAUCCUAUCAUUUGUAUUAUUCAUCUUGUCCAAUUGGACAUAUUCAGAUGAUCACCAUAGUUAGCCUUUAUACCCUGACAAAGUAUAUUGGGCCCUUUCGAUGAGGGUUUGUGUCAUCCUGCCCUUUCGAUUGGGGUUUGAGCCAUCAGACUCCAUGUUGCUUGCAUGAUUUAUGUCGGUUACGAGAAUCUUCCACAAAAAAGAGUAUUUUAAAAAUGAAGUGUAAUAACUCAUAGUCAUUGUUCAGAUAUUGUUUUAUGAGUUAUCUUUAUGAGAUUUCAUCUUGUAGUCUUAUUUAUGAUCAAGGUGAGUCCUUUUACACUUAGCAUGAUGAUUUGAAAGUAUGUUCAACUUCAGUUUUACUUAUUGCAUUCACCCCCACUUACUCAGUACAUUCCAGAAGUACUAACCACAUAUAUGUUUGUGUGGCUUCAUUAUUUCAUAAUAUAGGUACCCGUUAUAGCCGCAAUAUCAUGAUCAUGCAAUUCACAAUUUUCAGGCAGCAGGUGAUGAGUUCUCUUUAUUUAAGGAUUUCAGUCAAUUUGUAAAUUCAAUAUUUUAUUCCUAUUUAUUUUUAUAUAUUAGGGAUAACUGUGGGUCAUGUCCCAACUAUCUUUAGUCUGUAUUAGUAGAUGCUUCAUAACUAGUGAGUGGGAGUUGAUAUAUUCAUUUUUAGUUUUGUUUUGUAUAACCAGUGUUGUAAGUUUUUAAAUAGUAUUGUAUUGAACAAGUUCACCUAAAGACAUCUGUUUCGCUUAUUAUUUCUAGUUUUAUGUAUUUUAUUUAGUUGCUCGUGAAUUAAGCUAGUAUCAUGGAUUAUCUUGGGAUCACUUGUAGUUUUAAGCACUGUGUGACGUUUAAGGGGUAGUCUCGUGGCAUUACAAAACUUGGUAUUAGAGCACAGUGUUCAAUUGUCCUUGAAACACCUUGGAUUUUGACCCUUGGAAAUUUCCUAAGCUUUGAGCUUAUUGUCCUAGUAAUGACUUAUCAUAUAAGUCGUAUAAUAUUGGAACAAUUUAGGUAACCCUAGUCGUUAGGUAUCCAGUGGGUGGUGGUUAGGUUUUUGAUUUUGUUAACAACUUGGUGGUAUGAGUCAUUAUGGGUGGUGAUGACUCAUUUGGUCGAUCCUUAAUCAAAUCAGAAGCUUGGUGACUUGACUUGGCUCUGAGUAUGAGUAGCUCACUAAGAGACGUGAGGAUAUAUUACAAGUGGUAGGGUUGAGUCAUAAGUUGUCUAGUGUCCAAUCCUUUGAGUUUUGUCUUGUAUACGACUGUACCAUACGGGUUGUAUAGUCAGGUCACGAGUGGGGUCAUGGAGUCAUAUGAUGGACAAUAUAUGGGUGUCCAACUCACUAUUUUGGUAACGACUCAAGGAUACGAGUCAUAUGUUGUGGUCACGAGUCAAGGGGUCGACUCGUAACCACCUGCCGACUUUUUACAGUUUCAAGUUAGAGGCAUUCUGAACAUUUCCUCCUUUUAACUCUCUUUGAUAUCACGACUUAAAACUCCUUUUGGGACUAAAUUAACACAUUAAUUCCAAUCAAACACUCUUAAAAUCUCUCUUAAACUCUCUGUUCAAGCAAAACCUAGGGUUUCUGUAAGCUAAUCAAUUAGGAGCUUUCAAGAGUGAUUCUCUCUGUACUCCUUGGUGUCUAAGGCAUGUUACUUCUCCCUCAUUGUUAUUUUACAAGAAACAUGCAUUUUAAUGUAUGGUUUUCAUGGUAUUGUUAUGGUUUUAAAAUAAAGGUUGGGUUUUUUGAAUGUAAAUGGUCAAAUAAUGUUUCUCAUGGUGUAAUUAUAGUUUUUCAUGCUUUUAGUAUGAUUUUGAAUAUUGUGGGAUCAAUGGUAAUAGUAAAUGGAUUAUGGGGUACUAUGGAUUCCCCAAAUUACUUCGUCAUGGUUUUGAAACUUAUGUGCUCACAACCUGUUUGUGAAAAUGCCUAUGAACAUGAUUUUAUCACAUAGUUUGACUAUUCUUGGAAUCCUUGCAUUGCAUAAUUGGUAAUGAAACUUGAACUGGUUUGGCUUGAUUUCAAAUGGUUUUGGAAAGGCCUUGGUGGCCAUGGUCAUGGUUUAAUGGAAACAAUAGAGUCUAAUUUUUGUUUUUUAGUUUUAUAUGGCAUAAGGAAAUUAACUUGCAAGCUUUAAUUUUGGUAUAACGAUACCAACGGUUAAUGCCUAAUUAAAAGACUCCUUAGUAAAGGGUUUGGAAUGUGUAACUGGUUUUAAUAGGAGCAUAAAAGGGGUUAAUAGCAAAGCCGUGAAAAGUGGAGGUCCCGAUGGGACUAAUACUGAAAACUCAUCUUUGCCGAUAUGAGGUUUGGUCUUAAUGACCUGUGUGCAUUGGCAUAUAUAUAUAUAUAUAUAUAUUGGGGAUUGACGUGGGGUCGGGGCAUUUUCUAGUCUUCCUUGAUACCUCUGGUUCGUGUGGCUAACACGUACCGGGGCCCUUUCAGCAGGGAGAGAUGAACCCAUAUAGCCCGUGGGUGGACAUUUAGGAUAGAGGAGCUAUACAACCCAAGUAAAGGUUUUAAAUGCACUCUAAACCUUAUUCCCUAUCCCCACACGAUAUAUAUGUGACUGUAUAUGGUUAUUUGAUUUGGUUUUGAAUGAUGACAUUAUUUUAUCUUUAUCCCUGAGUUACAUGCUAGCAUUCACUCUGCUAACCGUCUUUGGGUGCUGUAUCCCCAUGUGAUACAAGAACCGGCUAUACUACUAUUCCCUUUGCUCAGUGACUUGGAUUUGGGGACAGCUAUGAGUCAGAUUAAAGUGGUGAGUUUCCAUACUCUAAAAGAAUCCAUUUCAUACUAUGGACUUCUUUUCAUUAUUGUUAUUUCUUUAGUUUUGGUUUUGGCUACGGUUGGGGGCAUGUCCGAAUCGGAUGUUCUUUGAUUAUGAUUAGAGGUUUUGUUGGACUACUAUAGGCAUGAGAGGUGUUGGUAUUAGUGUUAAUAUUUGUAUUGGUAUUAGCAUUGGGAUUGGUGUUGGAUAGAUACUUGGUUGUGACUAUUUGGUUAUGGUUAUAGACUUCAUCUUAUGUCUUUAAAUUAUUAUUAUUUUAUCUUGUGAUAUGCUCAGAAUUAUUUCGAUAGAGGAUGUAGGGCGGUUAUGGUUUAGGUAUUGGGAGUGGUCUCCGGUCUUGGUUAGGCUUGAGACACCAGACACGAAUAGGCCUUGGUUCGGGUCGUGUCAGUCCUAGGAUGUCUGUGAAGUUGUGCUAGUAGAGUCUUAUGGAAAGAUACAAUGACAUCUGUACUUUUCUUCAAAAGGCUAUUAGGCAUUAAAAAUAUUUUUCUUCUUUCACACUCUAGAUUGUGCAGUAAAGUUAUUCUCUUAGGAACUUUUGUUGUUUCAUGUGUUACUCCAAGAUCCUCUAACUAUAACUUACCCUUGAGUUAAUAUACGUAGUAAAUUCCAAUUCCUUUCGAGAUGAUGCUCUCAGAUUUACUAGUGACUUCAGAAAUCACACAUAGGGCUUAAGAAGAGCCCAUUAGUGUGUUUAAAGUCCUUUAAUUUAUAAGCUUAUGCCCUUACCCAUGUGAUUAUAUAGUUAAGACAUAAUAUAGAAUAUAUUUAGAUUUCUCUUUUAACCCUUCAUUACAGAUAACAUUCGUGAGAGGAGAGAGUAUAUACCUAUAUUAUUGUAUACCAUUUUCAUUGAGGGAUAUUGUAACUUAGAGUGUUAUGAUUCAUAAGUAGUAGAACAUCCUUAGAGUUGGAAGUACGGAUUUAGAAGUGUAGUGAUAAGAAAGAUGGGGAUAACAGUUGGUUAAAAGUAUAUAGAUGGACCUACGCAUGCCAUUGAGUUAGUAUUGGGGUAAUAUAUUUUUGGGUAUUAUCUAGAGGGUAGUGAGUGUGGUAUAGAUUUCACGGUGAAAGGUAGAGAAGGAGUUAUUAGUUAAGGUGACUUAAGAGUAUGCUUGAAGUACGAGAGGAGUACUUGAUGGUAUUUCAUUGUGUUAGAAAAGUAUAGGUUAUUAAUGAAAGUUUUGGUGGUUAAGGAUUGUUAAUCUAGGUUUCCCCUUGUGGUUGUGAAAAGGAAAUUGGUUGAUGCUUGUGAGCUAGGAAUAUAAUUUAGAUGUAUGGAUGGAUAAGUAGCAAUGAUGCGUGAAAAGAGGAUAUGCUAGUGGGUAUAAUAAGGUAGAUCAUAAGAUUAUGCUCAAUUAUUGUUAUUUUGAGGUUCUAGUGGACUAGUAUUUCUUGAUGUUUUUCCAAUCAAGAAUAGUGUGUGAGGUUGUGGUUAAUCAUAUCUAGUACUAAAUAUUAAUUCCUCGCUUGGCCAUGAAAACAAUAAUUUUCUGGAGUUGGAGUUGGAGUUGGAGUUGAAGUUGGAGUUGGUGUUGUGUUUGGCCAUGGAUAUAAAUUUGAGUUGUUUUUAAAAUUUUGUGAGAGAAAUAGGAGUAAGAAAAGUGAAAACAAGUAAAACUUAUUUUCACUUUUCCAAAAAUAAUUUUCACUAAAAUGAAAUAAUUUUUAUGGCCAAACACCACUAUUUUCACUUUUUUUCACUAAAGUGAAAUUGUUUUUAGAAAAAAGUAAAAAAAUUUCCAUGGCCAAAUGCCUACUAAGUUUGAAAAGUGGAUAAUCAGCAAGGUGGAAGUAAUGAUUGCUAGGGUUUGUGAUGCUAUUUAUAUGAAAAUGAGCUAGCACUCUUGGAAUAGUGUAUGCAAGAAUUUAAUUUUAUUUAUUUUCAAUUAAGUAUGAUGGUGUAGGUAUAAUGUAGAGGUGUACCCAAGGUAAUAUGUGACUAUAUUAUUUUCUAAGAUUAUUAAGUGUCAUAUCUUCUUACAUAGUAAUCUUGAGUUGCUAAGUGUGAAGAAGACUAGUUAUAGAAUAUAGUAUUCUUAAUAGCUAAGCUGGAGUUAUAGGUUGCGGAUGUUGAGUCUUUUGAUAUAAUUUUGAUUCUUAUGGUUUAGGAAAAAAUAUGAAUUUAGAGGAGUGAUAUUAUAAAACUAUGGAAAGAAGGACAGGUUGUGUAUUUAGUGAGGCAUGCAUGUUUACCAAGAAGUGUAUAUGACGAUGAUUAUUGAAGCUAGAUAAAGUUAAGGGUGGUAUGUAUGAAGGAAGUUCCCAAGAAUGAAGUUAGUAUUUUCCAAAUCUAAUUUAUUCGGGUGAGUUGAGCAUUCAAGUGUAGACUGUUAGAGUACAAAAAUUGUGGCUUAGUCUUGAGGACAUAGGAUAGGUCCAUAGGCGAAGAAUGUCGGCUUAAAUCUAAGGGGGAGAUGAUAGGGUGGAGAACCGAAUUGAGUUUUGUGAAUUAGAUUGUGAGGCAUGUUAAUAAGAGUUGUAAUGAGAUAGUGAUCCAUUCUUACUCUAGCAUAUUCCUUGGAUUUCAAUCAUUAUGGAACCCUAUCCAUAUCUUACAUGAUAGAGCAAGGCUUGUGACUCAUGCUUAUACACUUCAUGUAUAUUCAUGUUCAUUCUCAUCUCCUAGUAAAAGAAGUAAUAGCUUCACUUCGUGAUUUGAGUCAUCCCCCAUGAAUCUAAGAGUUUCAGUCUUAUGUUAAGUAACUUAUGAUAAGUAUGAACUUAUGUUUCUGAGUAUGCUCAGAUUUUAGAAUUCAAGGUACACUCUUAAAGACUAGUGAAAUUCGCAUUAUGUCAUGUAUGUCCUUAGUUUAUAUCUCUUUAACAAAUCCAUGCCUAUGAUACUCUAUUUUUCAGGCCUAAUCAAGUGACAAAGUUAUGUAUAGUAUUCUUUCCUUCUUUAGGUCCUCAUGUUCUAUCACUUCAGUGACCUUCGUUAUGUUAAGAUAUUAGUGAUGAAAUAGAUAAACAAAGGUUUAGAUGAGAGAGAGUAGAUAUCCUCAUUAGGGAAGAUUGUCGUAUGCUUGUUUUAUAUAAGGCUAUAAGUGUGAAGAAAGAUUGAGGCAAAUCUUGGGUCUAUGUCAUAGUUAAUUGAGAAUUCUUGGUGUGUAUUUUUAGGGAUAAUUCAUGAAAAAUGCUAUUGAUAGAGGUAUUAGAGAAUAUGAGAAAAAUUUCUAGCUGGGUUGGUUUCCUACAAGUUCAUAUGUGGUAAUAAUGAUAGGCUUGAAUUUCAUGUUGAUAUAUAAGUAGAUGAAUGCAUUGUGCGCUAGUGAAUUCCUAAUAAGAGCUUGGAUUUAGUUGUUGAUAUUGUAAGGGGUAUUAUUCUUGAUAUGGGAGCUCUGAAAAGACAUAAUAUAUUGAAUCUAUAGUUUGACUAAUAUUAUUGUGUUAUGUGUAGUACCUUGUGGCUUCGAGAUAGGAUUGAACAUGGUGGAAGUAUGUAGCUUAACUCAGACUUUGGUAGAGUAGUCACCUAUACCCAUUUGAAGGUUGUAAGUUGAAUUGCAUGAAACAUAGUACUUAAGAGGAAGAGUAUAGUUUAUAAAAGUGUUGCUAAGCUUGAAGGUUAAUAGUUGUAUUGCCUAAGGUAGAGUAAUCCUAUCCUAGCUUUUGUUCUAUAUGCCUAUAUUCCAAGUUAUAUAGUUUUGUCCAUGUUACAGUUAAAAAAAAAGGGCAGCCCGGUGUAUUAAUGCUACCUCUAUGCGCGGUGUUCGGGGAAGGGCCCACCACAAGGGUGUAUCGUAUGCAGCCUUACCUUGCAUUUCUGCCAGAGGCUGUUUCCAAGGCUUGAACCCGUGAUCUCCUGGUCACAUGGCAACACCUUUACCAGUUACUCCAUGUUACAGUUCCUUAUUCGAAUUCCAUACUCAGAUCAGGCCCAAGAUUUUUUCCGUCGAUUGUUAUUAGAAGUUAUGAUAAGGAGAGUCUGAGGAAACUUAGAUUUCCUUCUUAGUAACUUUUGGAAAUCUUAUCACAUUAGAUAUCGCUUCACAGUUCUAUAUGUACGAUCGUGUCAUGAAUGUUUCAAGAGAGUUCUAAACUCCCAACAUGAAUUAGCUCCUUAUAGUUUUCAUGUUAGCUCAAAAAUUAGUUUCAUGAUAGAAGUUUCAUCAUUUCAGCUCAGUUAUAUCCUUCAUUAGCAUACAUGUCAUGUGUACAUUAUUCCAUACGAUUCCUAUAUAUGUGUUCCUCUUUCAUAUGUCUCAGCCGAGUCAAUACCUUAUCAAGAGGUGAUUUCAAUUACAAAACAUGAUUAGCUUUGGAAAUUCAGUUCCAUGUUCUCCGUCUUAGAGUAAAACAAGUUUCAUAUCUUGGCCUAGCGAGCCCAUACGAGAGUUGUUACUCCUUUUCGACAUUCAUUCGUGGAUGAAUGAUCCUAAUGGGGAGACAAUGUUAGACCUUUAAAUUUCUAUGAUUUUAUUUUUAUACCUCCUUCAUUUUUAACGGUGUUUUUUUAGACAAAUUAUGAUAAGGGAUGAUGAUGGGACCAUUAAAAAGUAUUUUGAAAUUUUUGAAAUGCGUUUGGAGUCAUUUUGAGACCCCAAACCAGUAAGGAUUCACGAUAAGAGCGUGCCAUGCUCUGGGCGUACCUCAAUAAGUGCGUGCCAUGCUCUUGUAUGGCGCGAUAAGGGCGUACCACGCCCAAGGGCGCAGAAAUGCCAGUUUUUUUUUAGUUUGGGAUCGAGGACUUUUUGGCCUUUUAACUAUGAAACAACUCCCUAAUCAUGUAUAACACAAUUUCUACCCUUUUAACUCAGAUUAAAAUGACUUCUUUUCUCCCAAACCUCAAUAGCACAAAUGAAGAUUUUUCACCAAAAUUCAAGCUUGCAAGCUCCCAAUUCGAGUUUUCCUCAAGAAAUUCACUAAGUUCAGGUAUGUGGGGUUUGAACAAGGAUACCCUUUCAUCUGUGUGCCCUAAAGGUUAAGUUUUUACAUGAUUUUUAAAGAAUUGAUAACUAGAGUUCAUACCCACUUUCAUAUGCUUUGAGAUUAUGAUGUUUCCUCAUGAGUUUUACUUUAUUUAACACAAGAUUUCUUGUUUACUUAUGUUUUUAUCUACGAAAUUGAUAUUAUGAGAUGAGUUUCAUUAUUUUGACAUGAAAAUUCAUAAGUUGAUAAAUGUACAUGAUUUUCAACAUGAUUAGUUAGUUUACCAGUAAAAGUAUAUGAUUUUCAUGCUUAUUUAAGUUAAUACACUAAAGAGAUUUCAAGCAUUGAUUUUUGACAUUUUGAUAUGAAGUUUUUAUGAGCUGAUAAAAGAUUACAAUUUGAGUAUUGAGUAUUCAAUUUACAUAAAGCUCAGGUUUAAUAGUUUGAGCUUCAAAAGCAUUACAAUAUACUCAUAGUUUCAGUUUUGAUAUGAGAUUUCAGACAAGCUAUAAAUUCACAUAAUAUAUGAUAUGAAACAGUGGCAUAUUAUAUUUUCAGACUUACCAGCUUAUAUGUCUAUCUUAGGAUGAACUUCAUAGAUAUAGUACGAGCAAAUAACAUGAUUUUGAGAGUAGUAUCUAGCACCAAGAAGGAAAUAUGAAUUUCACACAUUCUAUAUCCCAAAAACUAUGUGCCACCGUACGUUAUUUUAACACUUCCGUAUGGGCAUGUAGCUUGUCCUAUCAUUUAUAUUAUUCAGCUUGUCUAAUAGGACAUGUUUAGCUGAUCACCAUAAUUAGCAUUUAUAACCUGGCAAAGUAUAUUAGGCCCUUUCGAUGAGGUUUUGAGUCAUUGUGUUCUUUCAAUAGGGGUUUGAGCCAUCAAACUCCAUGUGGCUCGUAUGGUUUAUGUCGGGUACGAGAAUAUCCCACAGAAAAAGAGUAUUUUAGAAACUAAGUGUAAUGACUCACAAUUGUUGUUUAGAUAUUGUUUUAUGAGUUAUUCUCUAUGAGAUUUCAAUUUUCAGUCUUACUUAUGAUCAAGGUGAGUCCUUUUACACUUGCAUGCAUAAUUUGAAAGUAUGUUCAUCUUAGUUUUACUUAUUGCAUUCACCCCCCUACUCAGUACAUUCCAAAAGUACUGACUACAUAUACGUCUAUGUGGCUACAUUAUUUCAUAAUGUAGGUACCAGUUAUAGCCCACAAUAUCAUGGUCAGGCAGUUCGCAGUUUCCAG